UACAGAGGUCCCAAGCGUUGUUCGGAUUCACUGGGCGUAAAGGGUGCGUAGGCGGUCGGGUAAGUCUGAUGUGAAAUCUCACAGCUUAACUGUGAAACUGCAUUGGAUACUAUUCGGCUUGAGAGUUGGAGGGGGGACUGGAAUUCUUGGUGUAGCAGUGAAAUGCGUAGAUAUCAAGUGGAACACCAGUGGCGAAGGCGAGUCCCUGGACAACUCCUGACACUGAGGCACGAAAGCUAGGGGAGCAAACAGG
rnacentral:rRNA from 1 species